AUAGGUGAGAAUCCUAUCCACCGAAUGAGUAAGGUUUCCCCCGGAAGGCUCGUCCGCGGGGGGUUAGUCGGGACCUAAGGCGAGGCUGAAAAGCGUAGUCGAUGGACAACAGGUUGAUAUUCCUGUACCGAUAUUUAAUUGCCGAAGGAAGGACGCAGAAGGAUAACACAGGCCACUAUUGGAUGUGGUUUUAAACAGUUAGUCUUCAUAAGAGUCAAAUGCUUUUAUGUUUAAGGAUAAGCUGUGAAUGUACCAAGUUUACUUGGAAAUUGUGUGAUUUCACGCUGCUGAAAAAAGUUUCGUAGGAAGAAAAUAUUGCCCGUACCGCAAACCGACACAGGUACUCGAGUGGAGAACACUAAGGUGAGCGAGUGAACUAUUGUUAAGGAACUCUGCAAAAUGAGUCCGUAACUUCGGAAGAAGGACUGCUGGUUUUAUACCAGCCGCAGCAAAUAGGCCCAAACAACUGUUUAUCAAAAACACAGGUUUCUGCAAAAUCGUAAGAUGAAGUAUAGGGGCUGACGCCUGCCCAGUGCUGGAAGGUUAAAAGGAGGACUUAGCUUCGGCGAAGGUCUUAAUUGAAGCCCCAGUGAACGGCGGCCGUAACUAUAACGGUCCUAAGGUAGCGAAAUUCCUUGUCG
rnacentral:rRNA from 1 species